rnacentral:rRNA from 1 species
GACGAACGCUGGCGGCGUGCUUAACACAUGCAAGUCAGGGGGGGUGGGGCAACCCACUCAACCGGCGAACGGGUGCGUAACACGUGAGCAACCUGCCCGCUUCUGGGGGAUAGCCGGCCCAACGGCCGGGUAAUACCGCAUACGUCGGUGGGGUGGCAUCACCCUACCGGGAAAGCAGGAAUGCGGAGGCGGAGGGGCUCGCGGCCUAUCAGCUCGUUGGUGGGGUCACGGCCUACCAAGGCGACGACGGGUAGCUGGUCUGAGAGGAUGGCCAGCCACAUUGGGACUGAGAGACGGCCCAGACUCCUACGGGAGGCAGCAGUGGGGAAUCUUGCGCAAUGGCCGAAAGGUUGACGCAGCGACGCCGCGUGUGGAAGGACGCCCUUCGGGGUGUAAACCACUGUUGCCCGGGACGAACCCCUGGCUUUGGCCAGGUUGACGGUACCGGGUGAGGAAGCACCGGCUAACUCCGUGCCAGCAGCCGCGGUAAUACGGAGGGUGCGAGCGUUGUCCGGAAUCACUGGGCGUAAAGGGCGCGUAGGCGGCCCGGUAAGCGUGCGGUGAAAGCCCGGGGCUCAACCCCGGGUCGCCCGUGCGACCUGUCGGGCUCGAGCACUGUAGAGGCAGGUGGAA